rnacentral:misc_RNA from 1 species
GAUGAAGAACGUAGCAAAAUGCGAUAAGUAAUGUGAAUUGCAGAAUUCAGUGAAUCAUCGAAUCUUUGAACGCACCUUGCACCCUUUGGCAUUCCGAAGGGUAUGCUCGUUUGAGUGUCAUUGUACUCUCACACUUCCGAUCUUUGGAUUGGGAGCGGUGGACUUGGGUGUUGCUGCUUACUGUGGCUCACCUCAAAUCGAUUCGUGCACCUCUUGGUUGGACAUAGUACGGCGUGAUAAGUGUCUUCGCCGGCACCUCAGUAGAGGGUGGCUGAUCGGGAGCUCUGCUUCAAACCGUCCUCGGACAACAACUGACAACUUGACCUCAAAUCGAGUAGGACUACCCGCUGAACUUAAGCAUAUCAAUAAGCGGAGGA